GAUGAACGCUGGCGGUAUGCUUAACACAUGCAAGUCGAACGGUCCUUUCGGGGUAGUGGCGGACGGGUGAGUAACGCGUGAGAAUCUGCCUUUAGGACGGGGACAACAGUUGGAAACGGCUGCUAAAACCCGAUGUGCCCUUCGGGGUGAAAUAUUUAUAGCCUGAAGAUGAGCUCGCGUCUGAUUAGCUAGUAGGUGAGGUAAAGGCUCACCUAGGCGACGAUCAGUAACUGGUCUGAGAGGAUGACCAGUCACACUGGGACUGAGACACGGCCCAGACUCCUACGGGAGGCAGCAGUGGGGAAUUUUCCGCAAUGGGCGCAAGCCUGACGGAGCAAUACCGCGUGAGGGAGGAAGGCUCUUGGGUCGUAAACCUCUUUUAUCAGGGAAGAACACAAUGACGGUACCUGAUGAAUCAGCAUCGGCUAACUCUGUGCCAGCAGCCGCGGUAAUACAGAGGAUGCAAGCGUUAUCCGGAAUUAUUGGGCGUAAAGCGUCCGCAGGUGGUUUUGAAAGUUUGCUGUCAAAGCGCGAGGCUCAACUUCGUAACGGCGGUGAAAACUUCAAGACUAGAGCUAGGUAGGGGUCACGGGAAUUCCCAGUGUAGCGGUGAAAUGCGUAGAUAUUGGGAAGAACACCAGCGGCGAAAGCGCGUGACUGGGCCUGAGCUGACACUCAUGGACGAAAGCUAGGGGAGCGAAAGGGAUUAGAUACCCCUGUAGUCCUAGCCGUAAACGAUGACAACUAGGUGUUGCCCG
rnacentral:rRNA from 1 species